AUUUGUAACAAAAAUAAUCAUAUCAUCGAUUCGAUCUAUAUUUUUUUAAUACAAUCAGUUAUAUUACGACUCAUCUAAAAUAUAUAACACUAAUUAUAAGAAAAACAAAUAUCAAAUGUAUAAAAAUGUAUAAACCAAAAUCCUCGUGGAUGCGCAGAUCAAUUUCUAACUGGUGUUACAGAUGUUUAUUUGUGUAUUUUAUUGGGAUUUGAAUAUUUUGUAUACUUGUAUGAGAUUCGGUUUGGAUAAAACUCAAAAUCCAAAAUACUGUAAAACAAGAUCUAAGAGGAUAUUUAUAAUGGAUUCAAUUCGAUUUAGAUUCACUUUUUGGCGUCAGUCCAAUUCAGAUUUUGGACUCUCUCUUUGUCCACCCCUCGUGCAUUAAUUAAAUAUACAUGAAGCAAAUAAUUCUUGGUUAGAGAUUAUUUGUUCUAGUAAAAUUGUUGGUAGUUGACAAAUACUAAUGGUUUAAUGGAAAUCAAAGUUUUAAACAAACUUAACAGAUAAUAUGUAUACUGACCGAAAAGGAGCUCUCUUUCUCUAUAAAAACAAAUCCUUUCCUUUUUCUCCACAAAAAAAAACUUCAAUUAUCUAAUUCAAUGUCUGACUCCGGCUGCUCACAUAGAGCCUGAGUCGGGUGUAGCUUUUAUUUUGUCUUAGUGUUUCAAUCAAUAUUGUUGCAUGUCGAUUUUUCAGCCAGAAACUGUAGAUCGUGAUAUGUUUAUGUUCUGAUCGGUUGGAUUUUAUCUUGUCUCGAGAUUGAUUUUGGUAGGUGGGAGGUGAUUUACUCCAUGUCUUUUACCCAGCUUCAUUCGUGUCAAUUUAUGUCACUAGAUUCAAUUUGGCCGGUUCCAAUUAACGCUUAUGGAACUACAUGUUAUGUUGCUCUGGGAUUUGAAGCUUGGUUCUACUCAGCGUGCACUAUUCACUAUGGGAAGUUUCUGGUUCGAGUUAUCUUUUUUAAUAGUAGUUUGGAGAUUAAGAAUCAUGUUUCUUAGGAGCUUUCUUCCUUGUCUUCAUUCUAUGUGCUUUAUUUUCCUUUGGUUUUUUUUUGUUUUAAAAUCGUCAUGUUUUGGCUCGGGGGAUUGUUUAUCAUCCGCUGAUUUUGGACUCCUAGGGUUAUUUUUAACUUGUCGGUUUUGGGUUUGAUCUUGUGUGUUGAUCUUCUGUUUGAUUACAAUGUAUGCUCUUGUAUAUUUCAAUUUAAUGUGAAUAUAAU